rnacentral:rRNA from 1 species
UACGUAGGUGGCGAGCGUUAUCCGGAUUUACUGGGUGUAAAGGGCGUGUAGGCGGGCGUGCAAGUCAGAUGUGAAAUGUCGAGGCUUAACCUCGGAGUUGCAUUUGAAACUGUGCGUCUUGAGUGAUGGAGAGGCAGGCGGAAUUCCUAGUGUAGCGGUGAAAUGCGUAGAUAUUAGGAGGAACACCAGUGGCGAAGGCGGCCUGCUGGACAUUAACUGACGCUGAGGCGCGAAAGCGUGGGGAGCAAAC